rnacentral:rRNA from 1 species
UAAUACAGAGGGUGCAAGCGUUGCUCGGAUUUACUGGGCGUAAAGCGUGCGCAGACGGCAAGGCAGGUCGGGUGUGAAAGCCCCGGGCUCAACCCGGGAAAUGCAUUCGAAACCACCUCGCUCGAGUGUGGAAGAGGGAAGCGGAAUUCCCGGUGUAGAGGUGAAAUUCGUAGAUAUCGGGAGGAACACCAGCGGCGAAGGCGGCUUCCUGGUCCAUUACUGACGUUCAGGCACGAAAGCGUGGGGAGCAAACAGGAUUAGAUACCCUGGUAGUCCACGCUGUAAACGAUGAAUGCUGGAUGUCGGGGGUAUUCACCCCCUCGGUAUCGAAGCCAACGCGUUAAGCAUUCCGCCUGGGGAGUACGGCCGCAAGGUUG